rnacentral:rRNA from 1 species
UACGUAGGGUGCGAGCGUUGUCCGGAAUUAUUGGGCGUAAAGGGCUCGUAGGCGGUUUGUCGCGUCGGGAGUGAAAACACACAGCUUAACUGUGUGCUUGCUUCCGAUACGGGCAGACUAGAGGUAUGCAGGGGAGAACGGAAUUCCCGGUGUAGCGGUGAAAUGCGCAGAUAUCGGGAGGAACACCGGUGGCGAAGGCGGUUCUCUGGGCCUUACCUGACGCUGAGGAGCGAAAGCGUGGGGAGCGAACAGG